UACGUAGGUGGCAAGCGUUGUCCGGAUUUACUGGGCGUAAAGCGAACGCAGGCGGACCUUUAAGUAGGAAGUGAAAGGUUGGAGCUCAACUCUAACACUGCUCCCUAUACUGGAGGUCUUGAGUGCCGGAGAGGAAGACGGAACAAGUUGUGUAGCGGUGAAAUGCGUUGAUAUAACUUGGAACACCAAUGGCGAAAGCACUCUUCUGGACGGAGUACUGAACGCUCAGGUUCGAAAGCCAAGGUAGCAAACAGG
rnacentral:rRNA from 1 species